UGAAAAAUAAUCUGGAAACCAGUUUUUAUCCAAUUCCGGAUAUCGGUUCUCAUUUUUUAAAAAAUGUUUUUGGAUUUUGAGAGUCAAUUUUGAAUUUAUGAAUUUUUUCACUCUUUAAAAAUGAAAAAACGAAUAAAAAAUGCAUAGAGAGAAAUUUUACGUAGGUAAUCAUUAUUUAUCAAUAAAUAAAGGCAUGGUCAAUUGGUCAUUCGUUAGCCGAGUUAGAUACUAAUACUUGAUUGGGGGGGGGGCGAAAAUGAAUGAAAAAAGGGAAGUUACAGUUUGACUUUGAAGAUUAAAAGAAUCCAUGAAACAUGAAUUUCAAAAUUAAUGGUCAAGUUAGUCUUAGUCAAGUAAUGUAGGUACCUACUUGAUUUUUUUUUGUUUUCAUAGAAAGAAAACAAAUUUUCAGGGCUUCAAACCCGAACGUUUUCGGGUACGGGUAUCGGGUACGGGUACAGAAAAUUUUUCGGGUACGGGUAUGGGAUUUUCUUCAAUUUUCGCCAUUUUUGAUACAAUUUUGAUGAAAUACCUGAAAAAAUACCCGAUCUAUCGGGUAUUCGGGUUCAAAAUAGUUUAAUCGGGUACGGGUUCGGGUACAGGUAUUCCUUGUUUUAUUUUUUCGGGUACGGGUACGGGUUCGGGUACAGAAAUUUAUGGAUUUUUGUUCGGGUAUUCGGGUAUUCGGGUACGGGUACGGGUACGGGUUUGAAGCCCUGCAAAUUUUAAAGAACUAGAAAAGAGCGACCUAAACCCUUCUAAACCUAUAUCUAACGAUUGAAGAAAUUGAUAAUUAAUUAAUCAUGUACUCUAAACCAUUGAUCUAAAAUUUUAAAUUUAAAAAAAAUCAAAACGUCUAAAGUCUAAACAGCAAUUGCACCUCAUUCACAUGCAAGCUGACAAAAUAAAGUCUAGUACUAAAAGUUGUUGACAAAUAAAACUGAUAAUAACCGUAGCGAUAAGAAAAAUUAUGGAAAAUUUUCUUUUAGAAAAUUAACAAUUUCGUUUUCAUUAUUAAUUUAAAAUUAAAUACUAUUCUUUCGAGUUGAUUUUUUACCCAUAAUAAUCAUGGAACCAUUAUCCUCUUACACCAUCAGCAAUGUUAGCGCUCAGCAAGUGUUGGAUUUUGUCGAACUUGGUAAACUUGCCGGUGUCACCAUCUCUUACGACAUGAUGAAAAUCAUUCUAGAAAUGUUGAGCAAUGGUAUAGAACCCGAAGCUGUAUAUCAGUUAUGCGUUGAUAUCAAGAACGAAAGGAAAAAGCAAAAGAAAAAAGAGAAAAUUACGCACGUUACGCACUGACGAAGUAAAAACCAAGUUAUUUUGGAGCCAAGUUGACCGGUGAAAAUGUAAAAUUCUCGAAACAUCAUUUUUAAAUAAUUAAGAUCGAAGAAUGUUUAUGUUUUAAAUUAUUAUGGCAGCUUACCAUACCUCCCUUUGUAUUUCCGAAAUCUCUGCGGUAUUUUCUGCAGACUUGGGCUGCCAAUUCAACGAUAUUUUUUCUUUAUGGGGUCGAUCCUUUUCUGCGAAUUCAACUUGAUUCGAAAUAACGUUUUUAAGAUUGUGAACUGUAUUAUGUAUUUCUUGUCCAUUAUUAUUUAAUUCUCUUUGGUCGUUUUCUUCGUGAUCUCGUGUCGAUUUCUCUGUUAUUGUGCUGCAUUUACUCGAUGUAUCUGUAUCAGUAGUGGUGAUCAUACCGUAGAUGUUUGAUAAUUCUAUAGAGUUGAAAUUUUCGUCCGAGUAUGGAAAUUUUUCACAUCCGAAGUUGGACGAGUUUGUUUGUAAAAUAGUAUGCCCUUCUGCAACCAUCCAUAUCUUGAGGUCUUGUUUGAAAAUUUUCGAAGAGUCGUUCGCUGUUGCAGCCAUCAAAGUUUCCAUGUCAUUUGAAUUGUACUCACGUAAAUCGCGAACUCACUUCACUAGUGUUCUUUAAAAAUAAAAAUAAAAAAAUACCAACUAACAACCAUCAAAAGAAAUUUCUAACUAGACAGUUACGGUGGUCACUUCUAUUUCAAAAUAAUUUAAUGUAUUCAUUACGUAUGAUAAUUUUAUUACAAAAUCUGGAUAUUUUUGCGUUGAAAAAAGAACACGAGCGAAUUAAAGAUUACUACAUGUACAUAGAUAGAGUACCAAUUAAGAUAGGGCCAAUGAAAAUGAGAUGAAAAUAAGGAACAAACAUUAAUGCGUGUACAAUAAUCUUAUCGUUGAAGUAUUUUAAAAUGGUAAAAUUUCCACGUUACAUAUCUGCCCGCUUGCUGCUCAAUUAAAUCAUUACUAUUAUGAAUUUGAGAAUUGUAAAUUACUUGAUAACUUAAUUGUGUUUGCGGUGAAUUACCGUUUAAAUAUAUUUUUAUUUCUUUUUUCAA